GCUUAUGAAGCCGAAAUGUAAAAUUUUUUUCUUUUAUUUUUCACUGUUAUUACGCUGCCUCUACUGUUCUUAGCUGUUAUUUUCGUCUUUCUUACAGGUAUUCCUUUCGGCUUUCUUUUGCAAACGCUGCGGUCAACGGAGGCAAGGAUUUGCCGUUUUGAUGCAAGUAGGGGCUGCCUUGGGCGACGAGUGCGCUGGAGGCACAUGGGCAGCAACGGCGCAUAGGAAAGGAGGUGCUGUUUAGUUUUUGGGCUCUAUUGAGCCCUUUAGGGUUUUAGAUUACUUUGGGCCAUGUUGGGCCAUUGAGGAUUUGAGCUAGUAGUUUAUUAUUUUAUUUUUUUUUUGUAAUUGGACUCUUAUUGGGCUGGUCAAAAAUUGGGUGCGUACACCCAUUUUUUGGGCCUAAUAUUUUUGUCCAAC
rnacentral:lncRNA from 1 species